GGAUUAACAUUAACUGGUCAAGUAUUUUCUUAUCUCUCAAUUCUACUAAUUAAAUUUUCUAAAAUUAUUAGGUCUCUAAAAAUAAAAUAGUUAUGGUGAUAACUAGAUCAUAACCUCCCAUUAAGUUGGGUGAUAAUGAGUCCAAUGAUUUAGAUGAAUAUUGGAGGCACCACACACCUGGUGCUCAUCUGGCUAUCAGAAUUAUCAUUCAUAAUAUGUUGUCUUAGUUGUGUCUUUCUGAUGAUGGUCAGGUUGGCCGAGCCACACUCGAGCCUGAUCACUCAUUUGUUAGAUACACUAAAUUUUGGCAUGUUAAUGGUUAACUAGAACUUACAGUGGAGGCACCACACGUCUGUUGAAGAGAUGUCUGGGAUAAAAUUGAAUACUAAAAAUUAUUUGAUAAAAUAAUUUGUUAAGGAUCCAUCCAUGGGUACACAA
rnacentral:lncRNA from 1 species